UACGUAGGGGGCUAGCGUUGUCCGGAAUCAUUGGGCGUAAAGAGCGUGUAGGCGGCCCGGUAAGUCCGCUGUGAAAGUCAAAGGCUCAACCUUUGAAUGUCAGCGGAUACUGCCGGGCUAGAGUCCGGAAGAGGCGAGUGGAACUCCUGGUGUAGCGGUGGAAUGCGCAGAUAUCAGGAAGAACACCAACGGCGAAGGCAGCUCGCUGGGACGGUACUGACGCUGAGACGCGAAAGCGUGGGGAGCAAACAGG
rnacentral:rRNA from 1 species